CUCGUUUCCGAAGGAAAAAAAAAAACUGAGAGCUGCAAAAGAGAAGAUUAGCAUAGCCCCUGAGCAAGGAUGACACACAAAUGUUAUAUACAGGAUCAUGCAGUU